rnacentral:rRNA from 1 species
UGGGAGGUAAAUUUCUCCUAAGGCUAAAUAUCGGCGAGAGACCGAUAGCGAACAAGUACCGUGAGGGAAAGAUGAAAAGAACUUUGAAAAGAGAGUAAAAUAGUACGUGAAAUUGUUGAAAGGGAAACGAUUGAAGUCAGUCGUACCGACGGAAAAUCAGCUCUUCGAGUGCGAACUUGUGGGCGUACGUGAGCUUUAACCGGCCUCGUUGUUUGCGAUGUUUGUGCUUUUUGGGUGUACUUUUUCGUAUGGUUGGCCAACGUCAGUCUCGGUUACCAUAAAAUGAUUGGAGGAAUGUAGCUUCGAUA